rnacentral:tRNA from 1 species
UUUGUGAUAGUAUAGCGCCAUACAUUAAACUUAGGCUUUAAAAACGAGGAGAAUCCUCUCACAAA